GCGGCAGCUACACGUGCAGUCGAGCGCUCCCUUCGGAGUGAGCGGCGGACGGGAUAGAGGGAGAGGGAAGGUGCCCUUCUCUAAGGAAGCGCCACUGGGGACGGUGACUAAUACCUUAUACGCCCUUCGGGGGAAAGAUUUAUCGGUGAAGGAUCGGCCCGCUUUAGAUCCCGUACUUGGGGGGGAAACGGCCUACCAUGCCUACGAUCUAUAGCUGGUUUUACAGGAUGAUCAGCAACACUGGGACUGAUACACGGGCCAAACUCCUACGGGAGGCAGCAGUGGGGAAUCUUAUACCAUGGGGGCAACCCUGAUCUAACCAUGCCGCGUGGGUGAUGAAGGCCCUAGGGUCGGACAGCUCUUUCGACAGGGAUGAUAAUGACUGUACCUGGUUUAGAAACCCCGACUAACUCCGUGCCAGCAGCCCUGGGUAUACAGAGGGGGUUAGCGUUGUUCGGAAUUACUGGCCGUAAAGCGCGCGUAGGCGGAUUAGGCGGUCAGAGGUGAAAUCCCAUGGCUCAACCCUGGAACUGCCUUUGAUACUGCUAGACUUGAGAUCGAGAGAGGUGAGUGCUAAUUCCGAGUGUAGAGGUGAAAUUCGCACAUAUUCAGUAUGAACACCACUGGCGAAGCUCCUCACUGGCUCGAUACUGACGCUGAAUGCGAAAGUGUGCAGAGCAAAAGGAACAUAUACCCUGUUAGU
rnacentral:rRNA from 1 species